UUAUGGCCAUAUCACAUUAAAAUACCAGUUCCCAUAUGAUCACUGAUGUUAAGCAAUGUCGAGCCUGGCUAGUACCUAGAUGGGUGACCACUUGGGAAUAGCAGGU